rfam:Scotophilus bat coronavirus 512, complete genome
GACUUAAAGAUAUUAUCUAUCUAUAGAUAGAUCAAUUUCUUUCCUAGACUUUUGUCUACUCGAUUCAACUAAACGAAAUUUUGUCCUUCAGCACACAUGUCUAUGUGUGCUGAAGUGAAAUUGGAAUUUCGCUAGGUUUGCUUAGUAGCUAGUACAAGUGUCGUGCUGCUCCAGGGUUCUUGGUGUGGGUUCCGUCUCACACUUCACACCCUCAAAGUAGCCUUCCUGCAGUUUUGUCUGCAGGUUGUGUGGAAAGUCUGUUCCGUCAGACUUGAAACCGAUAACUGUUAGCUAUGGCAAGCAACCAUAUUUCGUUGGCU